AACGAACGCUGGCGGCAUGCCUAACACAUGCAAGUCGAACGAGACCUUCGGGUCUAGUGGCGCACGGGUGCGUAACGCGUGGGAACCUGCCCUUAGGUUCGGAAUAACUCCCCGAAAGGGGUGCUAAUACCGGAUAAUGUCUUCGGACCAAAGAUUUAUCGCCUUUGGAUGGGCCCGCGUUGGAUUAGCGAGUUGGUAGGGUAAAGGCCUACCAAGGCGACGAUCCAUAGCUGGUCUGAGAGGAUGAUCAGCCACACUGGGACUGAGACACGGCCCAGACUCCUACGGGAGGCAGCAGUGGGGAAUAUUGGACAAUGGGCGAAAGCCUGAUCCAGCAAUGCCGCGUGAGUGAUGAAGGCCUUAGGGUUGUAAAGCUCUUUUACCCGGGAUGAUAAUGACAGUACCGGGAGAAUAAGCUCCGGCUAACUCCGUG
rnacentral:rRNA from 1 species